UGCCCCCUUCGUCUAGUGGUAGGACCGGAGCCUUUGAAGCUCUUAACGCUGGUUCGAAUCCAGCAGGGGCAUCCA
rnacentral:tRNA from 1 species